UGUAGGACGUGGUCGGAGGCGAGAGCUGCUGUGGAGGAGUGCCUCAGCGCCAAGACAGGACUUUCUCCCCCGCCGCCUUACAGAGGGCCAGUCCUUCACCUCUUCCUGGUAGCGCCCCCACCCCUGUCCCCCGACCGGGGGCCCCACUUCCCGUGUUCCCACAGGGGCGCUCAGCAAAGGCACGUGCUGUGACAACAGGAAUGUGGGCAAACCGUGUCGCGUCUUCACCAGCUCAAAUGGGAAAACCGUCAUCACUGUGAGUUCGUUCCCAUGUGGCCCUUUCCUUGGGGCCAGGGGAACCUCGGGACUCUUGUGGAAGGAAGGGGACGGGGUCUGUGCGGGAACCGCAGACAUGCCGUGAGGACUUCUCGGACCCCCCUCACUCCCACAGCAUUUCAGAAACCACCAAGAACAGAACAAGGACAGAUCAGGAGAGGGAGGACGGCAGACCAGCAGAGAAUGCUAAGGGACCAGCUUCGCGUACAGCCCACAGCCAUCUCCAUCAAAAGGCAAGACUGAGAACUAGAGGAAACUAUCGUCUACCAUGAUUAUUUAGAACAAGUAUUUGCAGUUUCUCUGAAUUCUUUUUUGAGGGUGCUGGGGAUUGAACUUGGGGGGCACUUGACCGCGGAGCCACAUCCCCAUCCCUAUUCUGUAUUUAGAGACAGGGUCUCACUGAGCUGCUCAGGGCCUCACUGUUGCUGAGUCUGGCUUUGAACUCGGGAUCCUCCUGCCUCAGCCUCUGGAGCUAGGCAUGUGCCACUGCGCCUGGCCUCUGCCACAGUCUUAAGGACUUUGAAGACUAGCAAGUGGAAUCCAAGUGCCAGUCCUGAGUGCCAUGCAGGCUGGUGCCUCUGAAUCCUUAGAGGGCUGCCCGCCCUGUGGAGCCACAUGGAUCCUCGAGGGCCCAGGACGCCGCAGCUGAUGAACACACAGCACGUCUAUUCUUCAUGUCCACGAGUGACUUGAGUGCUGUGGACAAUCCCUAUGACCGAACCGGAGCCCCAGCAGGAUUUGAAGGCAACAGAAGAACCCAGCGCCCUGACUACGGGAGUCCCACCCAGUAACUGCAUGCCACGGAGACGACCGCACGCCAGUUCAGUGCACAGGGAGGACAGGCAGGCCACGGGGGGGACACUCUACGGAAGGAACUGGGGCAUGUGGGCCCUUCUCCAGCCUCUGUCGUCGGGUCUUUUCAGGACAAUGCCAGGCCGAGGGCCACCGAGGUAAAGGUAAGCACAUGUCGCACCAGGUACCACCAGAGCGAAGACCCCGCGCAGGGCUGGCUCCUGGAGGCAAGGACGUCCUGUUCUUUCUCUGGUUCCUGGAAUUUUGGGUCCGUCUCAGACGGCAUUUGACAUUUGUUCCCAGCACCCAGUUGUCACCACAGGUAAGUCAAGACUAUAAUCACAACAGCAAGGACAGGAUUAUGUUGCUUUUUUCCUUUUUUUUUUUUUUCUUAAGGGAGUGAGGGCAUGGAAAA